rnacentral:tmRNA from 1 species
GGGAGCGACUUGGCUUCGACAGGAGCAGGGCGCACAUGGUGGCACGUCGCUUUGAGCAAAGCGUAAAAAGCUCAAAUUAAAAUUAAACGCAAAUAACGUUAAAUUCGCUCCUGCUUACGCUAAAGCUGCGUAAGUUCAGUUGAGCCUUGCUUGUUUUGAUACUAUCUAAAAACACCGGCGAGUAACCCCAGAUAGAGUAGAUUUGCGGUCUGACUAGCCUCAAAUCGAAAUUUUAGUCUUAGUCCGGCUUUUGGUUUUGGAAAGUGAGCCUUGACGGAUGAAAUUUUCACUUUUGCUAAGCGUGUAGAGGCUGUGGGUGCUUUGUUUUUGGACAGGGGUUCGAUCCCCCUCGCUUCCA